CUAAACUCCAUAUAAAACAGUUCUUCAUUGAGAGAAUAUGGGCUAAACCAAAGUAAUCUAUGGUGUUAGAAAUCGAGGUCAUGGUUACCAUUGGGAAGGAAGGGGUUUGGAAUGAGUGAAAGGGGAGCAUGAGGGUGAGCACCUGGGGUGGGGGUAGAAUAGCUUAAUUUCUUGAUCUGAGUGGUUGGAUGAAAAUGCUGACUUACACAGUUACCCAGGCUGCACAUGUAGGACACAGUCACUUUCAUCAUUGCAGGUUGUGAUUUUGAAAUACAUUUUUAGUUUAUUAGGAGCCAGGAGACUGACCUCCCUUCUGUUCCAGCUCUAGAGGUGAUGUGCUGUGUGAUCCCAGAUAAGGGUCACUAAACUUCCAUGGACCUCCUGACAUGCAAAUGAGAGGCUGAGCCAGGUGCCUUCGAAAAUCCCUCCCACCCAAGAGGGUUCCGCAUGCGUUGCCCUCCAUUGAAACUCCUCCAUUGAAAUGGCGUCAUGUGGCUGAAAUCAUCCCGAAGCCUUGCUGACCUUGGCAGAGGGGACGUCAGGCCUUUUCAUGUUCCUCCUUUCAGAAACUAACAGUUGCAGCUGACGUCUCUGUGGUGCCACUUGUCACUGGCAAGGCAGCUGUGAAGUUAAUGAUAGUGCAAAUAAAAAGCUGCUAGUAAUUAGGCGGCUGGAUGUUCAAGCAUUAUUGUUAUUUCAAAAAAAAAUCAAUUAGCUGAACAAGAAAAUGCCAUUGAGACAAACAUUUAUUUUUCUCUCUAGCAUGGUUCCAGCUGGGCAGGGACAUAAAGUGGUCAAUUCUAGAAGGGGAGAAUGUGUUUCUGAGAUAUUUGAACUUAAGAAAUAUCUUUAAACUGCACAUGAGAAAGAUGGAAAGAUUUAUUUAUUUUUAGGUUUCUGUAAGGGAAGAAGAUGCUUGAGCAGGAGUUUGGUAGCAGAAAAAAGCUUCCAGGAAGCCUGGUGUUAUCGAUCAGUGUUCUAUCUCUGGGAGAUGACAUGGAGAGCCUACGAGGCAAAUAAAGGAAGCGAUGGAAAA